GAUGAACGCUGACAGAAUGCUUAACACAUGCAAGUCUUUGGCGAAGCUGUGCUUGCACAGCCUAGCCAAGGCGGUCGGGUGAGUAACGCGUAAGGAACUUGCCCUGCAGUCAGGGAUAACAGACGGAAACGACUGAUAAGACCUGGUAAAGUCAGGCGGACUCAUGUCCAGCCUGAUGAAAAGGGAUGCUGCAGGAGAGCCUUGCGUCCUAUUAGCUUGUUGGUGGGGUAACGGCCCACCAAGGCGAUGAUAGGUAGCCGGCCUGAGAGGGUGGACGGCCACAAGGGGACUGAGAUACGGCCCUUACUCCUACGGGAGGCAGCAGUGGGGAAUAUUGGACAAUGGGGGCAACCCUGAUCCAGCAAUUCUGUGUGCACGAUGAAGGUUUUCGGAUUGUAAAGUGCUUUCAGCAGGGAAGAAAAAAAUGACGGUACCUGCAGAAGAAGCGACGGCUAAAUACGUG
rnacentral:rRNA from 1 species